CAGUAGCCGCGGGAAUACGAAGGGGGCUAGCGUUGUUCGGAUUUACUGGGCGUAAAGCGCACGUAGGCGGACUUUUAAGUCAGGGGUGAAAUCCCGGGGCUCAACCCCGGAACUGCCUUUGAUACUGGAAGUCUUGAGUAUGGUAGAGGUGAGUGGAAUUCCGAGUGUAGAGGUGAAAUUCGUAGAUAUUCGGAGGAACACCAGUGGCGAAGGCGGCUCACUGGACCAUUACUGACGCUGAGGUGCGAAAGCGUGGGGAGCAAACAGGAUUAGAUACCCCUGUAGUCCCUGUCUCUUAUAC
rnacentral:rRNA from 1 species